GGAUUAGAUACCCUGGUAGUCCACGCCCUAAACGAUGAAUGCUAGUCGUUGUGGUGCUUAGACACUGCAGUGAUGCAGCUAACGCAUUAAGCAUUCCGCCUGGGGAGUACGGUCGCAAGAUUAAAACUCAAAGGAAUAGACGGGGACCCGCACAAGUGGUGGAGCAUGUGGUUUAAUUCGAAGAUACACGAAGAACCUUACCUGGCCUUGACAUUGAUAGAACCUAAUAGAGAUAUUGGGGUGCUGUUUACAGAACUUGAAAACAGGUGCUGCACGGCUGUCGUCAGCUCGUGCCG
rnacentral:rRNA from 1 species